CAAACAUUCAACAGUUCAUCUGUGUCCUAAUCUGCUGACAUCUUGAUUUCACUACAGUUAAAAGAGAAAGGCCAUACAGGACAGAACAUGCACAAAUCCACAGAACUACACGGAUGCAUCUUCAUGCAUCUUGCCCAUCAUGUAUUCCUGAUUUCUUGCUACAGAGAGACCCAGUCCCCAAAUGGAUGGGUCCUUGGCAGUCUCUUGGUACUCUUGGAUCCCACCGAAGAGUUUGGAUCCCAUGAGCAGACCCUGGCAUCAGGUGACCUCAAGCAGGGCCACAGAACCUCUUUGUUGAAUCCAAUGGACCUGGUGGGACAAUAG
rnacentral:lncRNA from 1 species